ACAUCAUUUUUGACAGAGACCCGGAUGCGCUAUUUUAACAAUGACUUUAAUACCUUUCUGAGGUGGUAGUGGCAUUGAUGUCUAUGGGGUAUUUCAUCAGUAAUAUCUUCAUUUGUGUUCCAAAGAUGAACGAAGGUCUUGUUGGUUUGGAAUGACUGUACCAGUCACACUGAAGCUCCUAUUCAAUAACUUAUACCAUGGUCUGUCUGAAUAUUCUGAUUGGCUGGCAGGUUCUGAGUUUAUGUCAGAAGUGUAGCUGGCCUUCUUCCAGUUGUUGGCUACAUUCUGAAAAGAUGCUGGAAAAAGAAAUGCAGGAUUCUUGCUCUAUGUCGGGUCCACCCUUUCUCUGGCUGUGGUGCCUCCAUUGUCC